rnacentral:rRNA from 1 species
GACGAACGCUGGCGGCGUGCUUAAUACAUGCAAGUCGAACGGAAAGGCCCCUUUUGGGUUACUCGAGUGACUAACGAGCGGGUAAGACGUGCGUAACCUACCUUCGACGUCGGGAGAACUUCAUGAAGCUGGGGCUAAUACCGGAUAGGUAUCAUUGCUGCAUGGAUGGGGUUGGAAAGCAUCGGCGGUUUUGGAUAGAAUCGCGGCUUAUUAGCUUGUUGGUGGGGUAGUGGCGUACAAAGGCUUUGACGGGUAGCCGUCCUGAGAGGGCAACCGGCCACAAUGCGCCUGAGAGACGGCGCAGACGCCUACGGGAGGCAGCAGUGGGGAGUCUGGCACAAUAGGCGGGAGUGUGAGGCAACAACGCCCCGUGCGGGAUGACCGGCUUCGGGUUGUAAACCGCUUUCAGCAGGGGCGAAGCUUGUGGUGACGGUACCUUAAGAAGAAGCACCGGCUAACUACGUG